rnacentral:lncRNA from 1 species
GCUCACCACAAAUUCAUGGUAAGGCCCCAUUGCUAGAGAAAACACCUACAUAACUCAUUGAAUAUGGAGAACUUGAGCUGGUUUCUACUUAGAGCCUUUACCCCUACUGACUAGUGUUCGUAGUACGGAGGGAUACUCUGUAGGCUACCAAAGGAAAAAGGUAAACAUCAACCCAGCUAAAAACUCUUCGAUCUACAAUGGUGACCUGCCUGCAAGACAUGCUAGUGCCAUAGGGUCACAAAGCUGAUGGGACUAAUCAACCAAUAUUGGAUUGAGAUACAGUGCAUGAGAUACAGCCCAUCCCUAGCACUGCUCAGGUGGCCAAGAACUUAAGACUAGAUGGACCAAGGACUAGGAGAAAACUAAACACUACCUUUCUGCUAAAGGAAGAUAGAAAUAAAAUGACUCCUAAAGGCAUUCUGCUACAUCCAUAGAUCAGCAUCUCACUCAGCCACUACAGAAGAAGCUUCCUCCUACAUCGGAUGGGAGCUAAUACAGAGACCGGCGUCUGGACAAUGCAGAGAGUGAGACACAGCAGAACACUCAGUUCUAAAUGAGUUGUCUCCACCAAGUCCCUCCCCUCAAGGCCCAGGGAGCCCAACUGAAGAAGAGUGUAAGAGCCCAGAGUGGAUGGAGGACACCAAGGAAUCCAGCCUUUCCAAACACAGCAGGACCGAUCGCACAUGAACUCAGAGACUGUGGCAGCAUGCACAGAGCCUUCAGGGGUUCAGGCCUGAUGAUCCUAAUGCUGAGAAGCUGAGAAGCCCCUGGCCCAGAAACUAUCUCCAACUGAUGACCACUUACAAAUGAAAUAUUAGUUUUCUCCAAGGGAGUCUCACUGAUUGUACAAACCACAAAUAAAAGGCAGACCCCAUGCCCAGCAGUGAAUGGACAACAUAAAACACACUCAAUGGC